ACUCUUACGGGAGGCAGCAGUUAGGAAUAUUGGGCAAUGGACGAAAGUCUGACGCAGCAACGCCGCGUGAGGGAUGAAGGUUUUCGGAUCGUAAACCUCUUUUCCAGGGGAAGAUAAUGACGGUACCCUGGGAAUAAGCCCCGGCUAACUACGUGCCAGCAGCCGCGGUAAUAC
rnacentral:rRNA from 1 species